UACAGAGGUCCCAAGCGUUGUUCGGAAUCACUGGGCGUAAAGGGUGCGUAGGCGGCGCGGAAAGUCAGGGGUGAAAUCCCGGAGCUCAACUCCGGAACUGCCUUUGAUACUCCCGCGCUUGAGAACUGGAGGGGAGACCGGAAUUCACGGUGGAGCAGUGAAAUGCGUGGAUAUCGUGAGGAACACUAGUGGCGAAGGCGGGUCUCUGGGCCGUAACUGACGCUGAGGUGCGAAAGCCAGGGGAGCGAAACGGG
rnacentral:rRNA from 1 species